rnacentral:lncRNA from 1 species
CGUGUGGAAUGGAGCUUUCACAGGCUGGUGACUUUCCCAAGGUUGCACAGCUAGUAAGCGGCAGGGCUGGGCCAGAACUCAGGUCUCUCUCCCCUGGACCACGCAGCAAGUGCACAGAUGCAGAGUCUCCCUCAUCAGCUCCUUUCGCUGUGCCCAGGCUUGGCCUGACUUGCCCUUGACAUAUCCGUAUAGGGAGCUUGGACUGGUUUCAGAGGAAGACAGCACACGGACAAAGGAUGGGCGCAAGGACAGCACACGAUCAAAGAGAAACUAAACGGAGCUCUAUACGCCUGUAAUAGGGCAUCUGGGAAGUCAAAAUCCCAAGGGCCUGAAGGGCUGGUCCAGGCCUGCACCCAGAUGAAUUAUGAUAUUUUCCUGCCCUGGAAGCUGACAAGAACCAGUGUGGCUUUCUGGGGAGGCAGAGAGGCAAGAGCAGGGGGUCCGGAACCCACAGACACUCUCAGAGGAAACUACAGAAUGACACUGCUCUUAUAAUGCUUGGGAUUUUGGUGGUCGAGGCAGCGCACCCAGCGUUGGAAUUCUUGGGUGACCUACCGGCUGAGGACUAGUACCAAAGUCUUCUUUUGGCCAUCUCAACCAAUUCUUUUUUCAAAACAACAAG